AUUCAAGUGUUCGCUGGCUGCCUCCUGCCCUGCCACAAGCAAAUGAAGCAGGCUGUUUGAUGUUUCUUUUUUGGAAGGAGAUGGGUCAUGAAUGGUACAGUGGGUGGUGUGGAUGCAGAAUUUAACUGUUCAUCAAGGGAGAUCAGAUUUCCAUUGUAAAGGGAAUUAGAUUGGCACCUAAUAAUGUCCCGGUUCCGGCUACACAGCACAAGAGGAAACAGACAGCAUCUGCAGGUUGCAGGGGGACCUGGACAAACCGCAGAAUCGGGCCGAGAGGCAGCAAAUGGAGCCCAACGCAGCCAAACGUGAGGUGAUAAGCAAGAACAUUCAAAAGCUGAUUGGAGGCAGGUGUUCGCAGGCAAAAAUGUAUCUGCUGAAAAUGGGAUUUCCCCCCACCCCCACAUUAUCCCAGUCCCAAGCCUCCAACUCAGCAACACCCUCCUGGACCUGUCCAUCACC